CCUACGGGAGGCAGCAGUGGGGAAUAUUGCACAAUGGGCGCAAGCCUGAUGCAGCGACGCCGCGUGAGGGAUGACGGCCUUCGGGUUGUAAACCUCUUUCAGUAGGGAAGAAGCGAAAGUGACGGUACCUGCAGAAGAAGCGCCGGCUAACUACGUGCCAGCAGCCGCGGUAAUACGUAGGGCGCAAGCGUUAUCCGGAAUUAUUGGGCGUAAAGAGCUCGUAGGCGGUUUGUCGCGUCUGCUGUGAAAGACCGGGGCUCAACUCCGGUUCUGCAGUGGGUACGGGCAGACUAGAGUGCAGUAGGGGAGACUGGAAUUCCUGGUGUAGCGGUGAAAUGCGCAGAUAUCAGGAGGAACACCGAUGGCGAAGGCAGGUCUCUGGGCUGUAACUGACGCUGAGGAGCGAAAGCAUGGGGAGCGAACAGGAUUAGAUACCCUGGUAGUCCAUGCCGUAAACGUUGGGCACUAGGUGUGGGGGACAUUCCACGUUUUCCGCGCCGUAGCUAACGCAUAAGUGCCCGCCGUGGGGAGUACGGCCGCGAAGGCUAAAACUUACAAAGGAAAUUGACGGCGNGNGAGNGCGACGGACGACACGAGGGAGGAGG
rnacentral:rRNA from 1 species